rnacentral:rRNA from 1 species
AACGAACGCUGGCGGCGUGCCUAACACAUGCAAGUCGAACGAACCCUUCGGGGUUAGUGGCGCACGGGUGCGUAACGCGUGGGAAUCUGCCCUUGGCUUCGGAAUAACAGUUAGAAAUGACUGCUAAUACCGGAUGAUGUCUUCGGACCAAAGAUUUAUCGGCCAGGGAUGAGCCCGCGUAGGAUUAGGUAGUUGGUGGGGUAAAGGCCUACCAAGCCGACGAUCCUUAGCUGGUCUGAGAGGAUGAUCAGCCACACUGGGACUGAGACACGGCCCAGACUCCUACGGGAGGCAGCAGUGGGGAAUAUUGGACAAUGGGCGCAAGCCUGAUCCAGCAAUGCCGCGUGAGUGAUGAAGGCCUUAGGGUCGUAAAGCUCUUUUACCCGGGAUGAUAAUGACAGUACCGGGAGAAUAAGCUCCGGCUAACUCCGUGCCAGCCGCCGCAGUAA